ensembl:lncRNA
CUGUGAUUCAGUAAAUUGAUUAUUUGAUGAAUUGAUUUUAUGACAUUGACAUAUAGCCAACCGGAUAAUUUCUUUUAUUUGGAAAGACCACUAAAUUCACCAUUAUAUGUCCAAAGUCUACUGCAGUGCCUGGUGCAGUAGGUACUCAGGAAAUGGAUGGAUGGAUGGAUAAAUUGUUCUGGCUGAGGGCAUUACAAGAAGAAACAAGACUGCCAGACUUCAUGGCUUCGUGGAGCCCAUAUUCUAGUGUAGGGACCUUCAUCUUGCCUGCUACAAUGUGGUGCUCUGGACAUCUCUGCAGGGGGACAAGCAGUGUGGAAGACACAAGCUACUUCAGGGGCUAUGAUGACAGGCUGUUGGUCAACUGAUGAAUUAUUGGAAGUCUAUUACUGCAGGAACCAGGGGCCUAUUGUUUUAUGGAUACAAUUCAGGGGACCCAUGUAUUUGGAUGCAGAAAAUCAUCAUUUUAUUUUCAUAACCUCCUUCAUUUAUGGAUGCAGGAAUCAAAAACAUUUGUUAUCAAUACUUAUGACUAUGCUACUCAGAGAAAUCAGAGAUUUUUAAAAUUACAUAUUAAAGUUAUAUAUAUCCAA